rnacentral:lncRNA from 1 species
GCAGAGAGGCUGUUUCCAAUCGACCCUCGGCGCAUAGGAUAAAAUGAAAAGCAGCAUUAGAACAAAAACAAAAACAAAAACAAAGACAAAAUUAGAAACGAAAACAAGACAAAACAAAACAAUAAAGCAUUAGUAAAUCCCGCAGAAAUAACGUAAAUAAAUAUGUAAACAUAGGAAACAUAAAUACCAUCGCAUGCAAUAAUAACAAACAGUAACUACUCCACUAACAACCAUAAGGGGGACAUAAGCUAAAACACGAAUCCUCUAUGGGUAACCCUGCUGUNN